rnacentral:rRNA from 1 species
GACGAACGCUGACGGCGUGCUUAACACAUGCAAGUCGAACGGAGAUUCAGCAAUGGAUCUUAGUGGCGAACGGGUGAGUAACGCGUAGGCAAUCUGCCUUCUAGAUGGGGACAACAUCCCGAAAGGGGUGCUAAUACCGAAUGUUGUACCGUUUCCGCAUGGAGAUGAUACUAAAGGUGGCCUCUGAAUAUACUACCGCUAGAAGAUGAGCCUGCGUCUGAUUAGCUAGUUGGAGGGGUAACGGCCACCAAGGCUUCGAUCAGUAGCCGGUCUGAGAGGAUGAACGGCCACACUGGGACUGAGACACGGCCCAGACUCCUACGGGAGGCAGCAGUGGGGAAUCUUCCGCAAUGGACGAAAGUCUGACGGAGCAACGCCGCGUGAGUGAAGAAGGUUUUCGGAUCGUAAAGCUCUUUCGUUAGGGACGAACGUGCUCUUUGUGAAUAAUGAGGAGUAAUGACGGUACCUAAAUAAGAAGCCACGGCUAACUACGUGCCAGCCGCCGCCGUAA